rnacentral:ncRNA from 1 species
GGGGAAAGAAGACUUUGUUGAGUUUGACUCAAGCCUGACACUGUAAGGAGACAUGGAAGGUGCAGCAUAAGUGGGAGAUGGCAACAUUGCCGGUGAAAUACCACUACUUUCAUCGUUUCCUUACUUACUCGGUUGGGCGGAGUGCGUGCCCCAAGGGCCUCGUACCCCGGCGGUCACGGUGUUCUAGAGCCAAGCGUGUCAGAGUAGCGAGGGCUUCGGCCGAUCGCCGUUAAUACUCCCUCGUGAUCCGAUUUGAGGACGCUGCCAGGCGGGGAGUUUGAGUGGGGCAGUACAUCUGUCAAAAAAUAACGCAGGCCUAAGGCCAGAUUAGCGAGGACAGAAACCUCGCGUAGGGCAAAAGGGCAAAAACUGGCUUGAUCUCGAUGUACGCAUAGAGACUGCGAAAGCACGGCAUAUCGAUCCUUUUGGCUUGAAGACUUUUCAGCAAGAGAUGUCAGAAAAGUUACCACAUGGAUAACUGACUUGUGGCGGCCAAGCGUUCAUAGCGACGUCGCUUUUUGAUCCUUCGAUGUCGGCUCUUCCUAUCAUUGUGAAGCAGAAUUCGCCAAGCGUCGGAUUGUUCACCUGCCAACAGGGAACGCGAGCUGGGUUUAGACCGUCGUAAGACAGGUUAGUUUUACCCUACUGAUGACUAGUCAUUGCGAUAGUAAUCCUGCUCAGUACGAGAGAAACCGCAGGUUCGGACAUUUGGUUCACGCAUUCGGUCGAGCGGCCGGUGGUGCAAAGCUACCAUCUGUGGGAUUAUGCCUGAACGCCUCUAAGACCGUAUCCUUUCUAGUCAAAGGUUGCAAUGAUAUCUCUAGAAGUCUCGUGAGUCAAAAGGCUCAAAACAAUGUGACACUACUAGCCGGCCGGUUAUCCUUCGCGGGGUGGACCGAUCGUCGCACGAGCCCGGUUUGCCCGUACGGCGCCAUUGUCCGCCGUCGGGAUCUCACAGCCUACGACAGCGCGGCGUCUAACGGUCAAACAUGAGUUUCGCGAGUUCGAUGUCGAGACUCGGAAUCGUCUGUAGACGACUUAGGUUCUUGGCGGGAUGUUGUACUCGGUAGAGCAGUUACCACGCUGCAAUCUGUUGAGACUCAGCCCUUAGCUUGGGGAUUC